UCCCUGGAGGACUAGUGGUUAGGCUACGGCGCUCUCACCACCACGGCCCGGGUUCGAUCCCCAGCCAGGGGG